rnacentral:rRNA from 1 species
UACGAAGGGGGCUAGCGUUGUUCGGAAUUACUGGGCGUAAAGCGCGCGCAGGCGGUCUUCCAAGUCAGUGGUGAAAGCCCGGAGCUCAACUCCGGAAUUGCCAUUGAAACUGUGAGACUGGAGUACGAGAGAGGUGAGUGGAAUUCCCAGUGUAGAGGUGAAAUUCGUAGAUAUUGGGAAGAACACCGGUGGCGAAGGCGGCUCACUGGCUCGUUUCUGACGCUCAGGCGCGACAGCGUGGGGAUCAAACAGG